GACGAACGCUGGCGGCGUGCCUAAUACAUGCAAGUCGAACGCAGGGGGGACGGGUGAGUAACAAGUGGGUAACCUCCCAUCAGAGGGGAUAACACUUGGAAACAGGUGCUAAAACCGAUACGGAUGGAGGGACCAGUGGUGCAUUCGCUAGUUGGUGGGGUAACGGCUCACCAAGGCCACGAUGAAUAGCCGACCUGAGAGGGUGACCAGCCACACUGGGACUGAGACACGGCCCAGACUCCUACGGGAGGCAGCAGUGGGGAAUCUUCGACAAUGGACGAAAGCCUGACCGAGCCACGCCGCGUGUGUGAAGAAGGUGUGCGGGUCGUAAAGCACUGUUGUUGGGGAAGCGGUAUCUAAACAGAAAGCAACGGCUAACUCCGUGCCAGCAGCCGCGGUAAUUC
rnacentral:rRNA from 1 species